rnacentral:lncRNA from 1 species
GUCAUUUACCCCCAUCUGUGGGUAAGGACUUGCUAUAGAGCUCUCUCUUCAUCUUUGAAGGUGCGGCCAUAGCAGCAGAUUCCUCAUCUAUGAGCAUCAUCUACCAGAGAUGAUGAUAUUCGCCUCAAAUGUCUACAAGUGACUGAAACAAUACACUGAAUGUUGGAAGAUUAAGAGUGGCUGGUGGAUGGUGGCAAGAAUCAGUGAAUGAUAAGUAAUGAUUGUCAGAUAUUCCUUGAUAAAGAGCCGGGGAUGAAUGUAACGAUUGUGGAGGUGGAAUGCUGACUGCGACAUCUGCCCCAAAGCUGGUUGAAGGAUCUCACACCAUUUUGAUUCAGACCUUCCAAGACCACACAGGGAAUCAGCAUUAAAGCUUAGGAUGGAAGUUACCUUCUUUCCCAGGUUAGAUUUUUUUUUUAUUGA